UACGAAGGGGGCUAGCGUUGUUCGGAAUUACUGGGCGUAAAGCGCGACGCAGGCGGUCUUCCAAGUCAGUGGUGAAAGCCCGGAGCUCAACUCCGGAACUGCCAUUGAAACUGUUAGACUUGAGGACGAGAGAGGUGAGUGGAACUGCGAGUGUAGAGGUGAAAAUUCGUAGAUAUUCGCAAGAACACCGGUGGCGAAGGCGGCUUCCUGGACCGACACUGACGCUGAGGCGCGAAAGCCAGGGGAGCAAACGGGG
rnacentral:rRNA from 1 species